GCAGCCGGAGGGUCUCCUGCCUGGCCCCGGGAAGCAGAGCAGCUGUGCCAGGGAUGCUCUGAACAAAGUCCCUCUCCUGGUGCUGGCAGCCUGUGAUUUGCAUACAGAUGCGUAGGAAAUCCUGGCGGAUCUCAGCGUCGAGGGGGAAGGGGAUCGCUGGGGAAGGCAAAGAGAUGCUGUUGGCUCCACGUUGCCUUUGCUGCUGGACUCCAAACCCCACUUGACAUGAGGCUGGCAAUGGAGGGACUGGCAAUGGAGGAGGGGGACAUGACGACGUGGGGACACACACAUUGACUUCCCAAGUGUUGUGAAGCAUAUCUGUGCAUGAUGAAACAGGGAAUGAAAUGGGGCACAGGGAAGGUGUGCAGCCAGUUUGAAGCCAGAAUUGAAUCAGGUGUGUCAGCAUCUGCUCUCUGAGGCUGAUGGGCUCUGGAGAAGGUGCCCUGAGCAACUCUGGGCCUCUCUCUGUUGCAGGCAUCUUUUGCCUUGACCUCACUUCACUGCACAUCCUAGCCCUUCCCAGCAGCCUGGAGCUCUGCCUGGGCUUACAGGUAAGAAAUCCCCAACCUGUUCUUCUGGGAUACUGUGAAGCCAAACUGUUCUUGUGGCCUGAACCCUUGUGCUAAGGCAGACGCCUGCAAGUGCCUUUGUUUCAGGAGUUCCAUUUUCCAGACAUGGAAUAUGGAGGAUUUUCCCCAAGAAAACACCUCUUCAUUUUAAAGACAUGGUUUGGCCCCUAAAUUGUCUGGUAUACAUAACCCACUGCUGGUAGCUCAUGUGUUCUACCCAGAAGUAGCAAAGAGCUGUGUAAAUAUCAUGAGUUCAGGCUGCUCAGGCACAAUCUGCCUUGAUGCAGAGACCCAGUGGCUGAAAGGCUGAUGGAAA